rnacentral:rRNA from 1 species
UACGUAGGGUGCAAGCGUUGUCCGGAAUCAUUGGGCGUAAAGAGCGUGUAGGCGGCCCGGUAAGUCCGCUGUGAAAGUCGGGGGCUCAACCCUCGAAUGCCGGUGGAUACUGUCGGGCUAGAGUGCGGAAGAGGCGAGUGGAAUUCCUGGUGUAGCGGUGAAAUGCGCAGAUAUCAGGAGGAACACCAAUUGCGAAGGCAGCUCGCUGGGACGUAACUGACGCUGAGACGCGAAAGCGUGGGGAGCAAACAGG